rnacentral:lncRNA from 1 species
GGAAGAAAAGCAUUGUAUUUUUGAUAUCCCAACCGAUAACUGGAAAUGUAAUUCAACAUGUGUCAAUCUGGAGCAUGCAGUGUCUGGUAUUUGUCAAUCUGAUCAACAUCCCCUAAAUUUUCCUACGAAUUGUUACUGCAGCUUCAAAUGCAACGAAAAUAUGCCGCGGUAAGUUUAAACAACUUAUUGAUUAACCUUCAUAAAUUGUUAUGCAUUUGGUGAAUGUUGAUUUGUUGAAAGUUUAUACUCCCAUUUGAUCUUAUGUGUAAUCUUCUCUCUGAGUCUCCUUGACAUGUUAACAAAACCUACUAUUAAAUCCAUGAAACCAAUAGGUUGAAUCGAGUUUGAAACCAAUAGGUUGAAUCGAGUUUGACUUUGCAAUGCCUAAGUUUAGUCUAUUAAAAAAUAUCAAAACCCAAGUUAGGCCUGAUAUUUAUCUAUUAUAUACUUAUUUUUUGGUAUAAUAAUUAAUUUUUUUUUUCAUAUAUAAAGCUUGAAAUAGUCUAUUAACCUUCGUGAGGACUUAUUUGCGUAAGGUUUUUUUUUUUUUUGAACAGCAAUUUUAUUUUACAACUGAAUCCUUGCUCAAGGCGAACAAAGACCGAUAAUUUAGAAAAUACAAACUAAAGGCACCAUAUAUAGACAGAACACCCAAAAAUAAACGUCAUAACAGACAUCCCUACACGCAACAUCUAGCCAUACCCCACCUUAAACACCCAUGAGGACAACACCCACCAAAAUAACCAACACCACCUACAAACAGGCUCCUUCACGAAAAGGGCGCUUGAAAAACAAUAUCAGAAACCACCCAUUGUCACUACUCUCGCCGCAAAAGGAACACCCCUCUAAAUGAAAUUCCAAAUCCUCCUCACCAAAGAUGAGCUACAUCCGUAGAGCUCCUAUUCGAAAGAUCAAUCAGCUUCCACCACCUCCCCACCUCUGAUCCACCAAAAGAACUCCAUAGCCAAAGAACUGACUCCCAAUCUUGAACCAAAAGAACUCCUUAUUUGUGUAAAGACUAAUUUUAUAUUUGUACAACAACAAAAAUAGAACUAUUUUAUAUUGAUUUUAUAAUGAUGUUUUUAUAUAUGUAAUUUUAUUUUUUAUUUCUUCUUCUUCUUCCUUCAUCUUAGAUUUUUAUAUAUACCAACGAUAUUAAGUAUUAAUUUGAGAUUUAAAACCAUGUAUAUUUUAAUGAAUCGAAUAUUAUAUGACAUCCUAUUUCUUAACUUCUAUUAUCUAAAAAAAUUAAACUAGUUUUGUCGUCUAUACAUUGCUUUCUACAUAUACAUUAAUUGAUACAAAUAUUUGUUGUUACCUUUUUAUUGAAAUCAUGAAUUCAUUUGCUAGUAAAUUCUACAUCAUCUCCACGUUCCUCUAUCUUGUCCUCUUUAUUUCCGCAUAUGGUACAAACUGUUGGCGCAACAAAAAGCAUCUACACACACAUAUUGCACAAUUGCAUAGGCUCAAGACAAGCUUAUGAGCAUGAAAAUAGUUUCAUGCAAAAUGUACUAGAAGGAAUGGAAUGAAUUGAGGAAUGAGGGAAGAAUGAAUACUAGAAAUUGCUAAUGAAGAGAAAAGAAAAUUUUAUUCUUCCACAUAGGGCCAUUAUUCACAAGAGUACAAAAGAUCCUAUUUAUAUACAAUCUAAACUCACUUGCUUAGAAAACAAGUAACAAACUUACUAUCUAACUAACUAACUUGGUUGUAACUAACUCACUUAGUUAGUUGUAACCAACUUAUUCAAUCUAACAAACUAAUCUUCUAGUUAUGAUAUUACACAAUCUAACACAAACUAACUAUGCAUUUUAUAUUUAUUUUCUCGUGCUUCUUCAAAUAAUAUUAAGUCUCAAUUAUGUUUUUACUAAGCCUCAAUUAUGUUCUUAAUUAGUUUUAUUGUGAUUCUUUUUUUUUUUUUUAUGUUUAGAGAUUGAAGUAGAACUCUGUAAAGAGCAAAGUAAAAUGCGGACAGGAUCAUGUGCAUCAACUCUGCAAAAUCAAAUAGGAGUUAAACAAAGCUUUACACUUCAAUAAAUGUAAUACUUGAUUUAAAAAUUCAAUUCUUGUAGUGAUUAAAUUAUUAAAACAUUAUUUGUCAAAAAAAAUUAUUAAAACAUUAUUAACCCUUACAAAAAAAUUAUUUGCGUUUUGUUACUAAGAAUGUGUUUGAUUGCAACAUUUGUUCGAUCGUAUGUAGUAUUUGAUCGAUGCAUUAAAUUUGCAUAUAUUAUAUAUGGUGCAAUUACAUGCUCAUGCAUAUAUAUAGCGAUUAUGGUACAAUAUAUCGUUGAGAGAAUUGAAGUUACCGAUUAGUAGGAUUGACUAUGAUAUGUUAUCAAUCAUAGAAGUAUGAUAGUGGGUGUAAUAAUUCGCUCAACGAAGUCACGCUCUCCCAAUAAGAAAAUAGUUUUCCACAAAUAGAGGCUCAAACUAAUUUAUUUUCCAUUGAAUUUCCACCAUUGUGAAGCUUUGGAGUUUUGCUUUCAAGUCCUUGAAGCAAUCUCCUGGCGUUCUUUCUUAUUUGUAAAGUAUGCUCAUGAAUAUUGUUAGGAAGCAUUUGUUAUUGGGCCUAGAUUGAUUGGGUUUGGCUGGUUUUGGCCCAAUUGUUGUAAACCUAUAUAAGGCAUUUGUUAUGAAUGAAUAAACAAUGGAUCAUUGCUACCAACCAACAAGUGGUAUUAGUUAAGCCUUGAUCUAAGACCUGAAUCACGCGCUAACUAACUUCAAGAACUGCAAUUCUCUUCUCCGGUGACAUUUCCGGUGAUAGUUAGAGCCAUUACGGUGGUUGUUAACCGUCUUCAUCGUCUUUGUUGCACGAUUUCAUCUUCUCUUAAGCUCUUUCUUUCUUCGGCUUCACUCUAUCAUGGCAGAAACAUCGAAUUUCGCUUAACCAUCAAUCCCAAAGUUCGAUGGUUACUAUGAACAUUGGGCUAUGCUUAUGGAGAAUCUUCUCCGAUCGAAAGAGUACUGGACAAUGAUUGAAAAUGGAGUUCUUGCAGCUCCGGCGAAUGCAACGGCGGAACAACAACAACUUGCAGAUGCAAGUAAGCUCAUGGAUUUAAAGGUAAAAAACUACCCUUUUCAAUCGAUUGAUAGAACUAUCUUAGAAACGAUAUUGAAACGUGACACUGCAAAAAAUAUAUGGGAUGCAAUGCGACGCAAGUAUCAAGGUUCAACCAAGGUAAAACGUGCGCAAUUGCAGUCCUUGAGGCGUGAAUUUGAGAUUCUUGAAAUGGAAGAAAGUGAGUCUGUCACUGAUUUCUUUGCAAGGAUGGUGAAAUAAUGGAACAAGUGAUAGUAGUUGAAAAGAUUCUUAGGUAUAUGACUGAGAAAUUCAAUUACGUGGUGUGUUCCAUCACUGAAUCGAAUGAUGUGACUACUAUGUCUAUAGAUGAGUUACAAAGCAGUCUUCUUGUUCAUGAGAAAUUAAUAAAGGGGAAGAAGAAUCAUGGUGUCACUGUUGGUGAGGAACAAGCUCUCAAAGUUUCCAAUGCUGGUAGAGGGAGAGGUAGAAAUUCUUCCUCACGAGGAAGAGGGAGAGGAAGACAGAGUAAAGAUCUUGUAGAGUGCUACAAGUGUCAUAAGCUAGGACACUAUUGGAAUGAGUGCCCUGAUUGGGAUGCAAGUGCAAAUUAUGCUGAGUUUGGUAGCGAAGAGGAAAUGCUCCUGAUGGCAUUUUCUAACAUGAACACUGAUUGCAAGUAUGAGACAUGGUACCUUGAUAGUGGUUGCAACAAUCAUAUGGUUGAAACCAAAAAUUGGCUGUUUGAAUUUGAUGAAAGUUUCAGAGAAUCAGUGAAAUGGGGGAAUGACUCAAAAAUGGUUGUAAUGGGCAAAGGCAAUGUGAAAUUAAACAUUGAAGGAAGAAUUCAUGUGAUCACUGAUGUAUACUACCUCCCUGGCUUAGGUAACAAUCUACUUAGUAUAGGUCAAUUGCAACAAAAGGGCAUCACUAUUAUUUUCAAAAAUAAUACUUGUCAACUGUUUCAUGAAGAGAAAGGAUUAAUCAUAAGCACUGCAAUGACUGCUAAUAGAAUAUACAUCAUCAAUGCAUCUAUGAUGAUUCCCAAAUGUCUGCAAAUGACAAAGGAUGAAGAAACUAACCUGUGGCAUAAAAGAUAUGCACAUCUCACCCUUAAAGGGUUGAAGGUAUUGACUGGAAAAAACAUGGUCAAAGGCUUACCUGAAUUGAAGGAUAAUGAUGAUAAAUGCAAUGAUUGCUUGUCAGGAAAGCAACACGGAGAUAGCAUUCCAAAGCAGGCAAAUUGGAGAGCGCCUCAAAAAUUAGAACUUGUGCACUCAGAUAUUUAUGGUCCCUUAAACCCUAAAUUCAAUGGAGGGAACACGUACUUUAUCACUUUCACUAAUUAUCUUACUAGGAAAACUUGGACCUACUUUAUGCAAGAAAAACCAUCUGCAUUUGAAUUGUUUAAAAAGUCUAAGUCUCUAGAUGAAAAGGAGUCAGGAUGCUUGAUUAAGUGUCUCAGAACUGAUAGGGGUGGUGAAUUUACAUCUACUAUGUUCAAUGAUUUAUGUAGCUCUCAAGGAAUAAAGAGACAAUUGACAGCUUCUUACACUCCACAACAAAAUGGAGUUUCAGAAAGGAAGAAUAAAACACUAUUGAAUAUGGUUAGAAGCAUGUUAUCUUGCAGAGAUGUCCCUAAAAGAUUUGGCCAGAAGCAGUUAAUUGGGCUACUCAUGUGAUGAAUAGAUGUCCUACCUUUGCUAAAAAAAACAUUACACCAGAGGAAGCAUGGAGUGGACACAAACCAUCAGUGCAACACUUUAGAAUAUUUGGAUGUGUAGCUCAUGUGCACAUACCAGAUGCUCAGAGAAAGAAAUUGGAUAGAAAAAGCAUCAAAUGUAUUCAUCUUGGUGUUAGUGAAGAGUCCAAGGCUUACAAACUCUACAAUCCAAAAGAAAAGAAGAUCAUUGUCAGCAGGGUUGUAGUGUUUGAAGAAAAUAAAAGAUGGCAUUGGGACAAGAAAGGUGAAGCCUAAAAAAUUGUCGAUCAUGUCAGUGAUAGUGAAGACAACAAUGACUUUGCAGUGGAGAAUGAAGAUGAUAACCAUAAUGAGGCUGAUAUUGACACUAAUGGUAUUGACAAUGAAGAUGUCAAUGGUAACCAUGAAAGUGACAUGGACCUAGAAAACAACAGUGAUGAAUCACUUUCACCCAGACAAAGAAGGCCCCUUGGAUAUCCCAAUGAUUAUGUGACUGGAACUGAAAAGUUGGACAACAUUGAUCAAUUGCAAAACCUUGCAAUAGCUAUGUUUAGCACAAGUGAAGAUCCAAACACUUAUGAAGAAGCAACAAAAUCGAAAGUUUGGAGAGAAGCAAUGGAAUCAGAAAUCAAUGCAAUUGAAUCAAAUGAUACUUGGCAAUUGACUACUCUUCCUCAAGGAGCAAAAGCAAUAGGUGUUAAGUGGAUAUUCAAAACCAAAUACAAUGAAAAGGGCAAGAUAGAGAAGUAUCAGGCCAGACUGGUAGCAAAGGGAUAUUCACAGAAAUAUGGAAUUGAUUAUGGAGAGUUAUAUACACUUGUGGCAAGAUGGGAUACUAUAAGAACAAUUAUUUGCCUAGAUGCUUAUGAAAAAUGACCUGUGCUGCAACUUGAUGUCAAAAGUACUUUUCUUCAUGGAGAGUUAAUGGAAGAUUUGUAUGUAAUGCAACCUUUGGGAUAUCAGAAAGGGAAAAGUGAUGAGGUUUACAAGCUUAAAAAGGCCCUAUAUGGUUUGAAUCAGGCUCCUAGAGCUUGGUACAGUAAAAUAGAGUCCUACUUCAUAUCAGAAAAGUAUAAAAAAUGCACUCAUGAACAUACCUUGUUUGUCAAGCAAGGCAGUAAUCAAAAGAUUCUAAUAGUUAGCAUAUAUGUAGAUGACCUUAUCUACACUGGUAAUGAUGUUCUAAUGAUGGAUGAAUUCAAAGCAUCAAUGAAGGAUAAGUUUGCAAUGACUGACCUUGGAAAAAUGAAGUAUUUCUUAGGAGUGAAGUAAGUCAGAUUGAACAAGGAAUUUUCAUACAUCAGCACAAAUAUGGUGCUAAAAUUCUAAAGAGAUUUGGAAUGAUGGACCGUAACAAAGUAUGUAGCCCAAUUGUCACUGGAUGCAAGCUAGUGAAGGAUGAAAAUGGGAGAGCUACUGAUGCUACUACAUACAAGCAGAUGAUUGGAUGUUUAAUGUAUCUCUUAGCUACUAGACUUGACAUGAAUUUUGCAGUAUGUCUGGCUGCUAGAUACAUGGAGAGGCUAACUGAGAUGCAUGUAGCAGUGGUUAAAAGCAUAAUGAGAUACUUGAAGGGAACACUGAAGUUUGGUAUGUUGUACAAAUGCAAGAGCAGCACUGAUUUAACUCUACAAGGUUGGAAUGACUCAGACUAUGCUGGAGAUCAUGAUGACAAAAAGAGUACCUCUGGAUAUGGGUUUACUUUAGGGGAAAGUGCAUUCUGAUGGUCAUUAAAAAAGUAACCUAUAGUUACUCUAUCAACAACAGAAGUUGAGUUUGUAUCUGCAACUUCAUGUGCUUGUCAAUGCUUAUGGUUGAAGAGUGUGCUAGAUCACUUGCACAUAAAGCAAACUGGCUGCAUUGUUAUCAACUGUGAUAACAGUUUCUCUAUCAAGUUAUCUAAGAACCCUAUCAUGCACGGUAUGUGUAAACACAUAGAUGUGAGAUUCCACUUCCUAAGGGAUCUAAGCAAAGAUGGAGUAGUUGAAUUACAAUACUACAAGUCACAGGAGCAACUGGUAGAUAUCAUGACAAAGGCCCUCAAACUUGAAAGUUUUUGCAAAUUAAGGGAGGAAAUUGGAAUGUGUGACUUUCCAAACUGAUUCAGUGUGUUACUAAAGGAUGUAUGACUCUUGCAUCAUCAGCAUCAGUGCCUUUUCUUGCUUGUUUUUUCAUUACAGUUUGCUUAUGUUUGUAUCUUGCAGUGCUUGUGCUCAUGGGCGCGCUUGCAGCCUGUGUCUGUUUGUUUCUUGUAUUUUUGCUUUUAUGAUUCUUUGUAAGUUUAAGUUGAUCAGUUUAUAAUGAUCAGCUUAAGGGAGGGUAUGUUAGGAAGCAUUUGCUAUUGGACCUAUAUUGAUUGGGCUUGGCUGGUUUUGGCCCAAUUGUUGUAAGCCUAUAUAAGGCAUUUGUGAUGAAUGAAUAAACAAUGGAUCAUUGCUACCAACCAACAAAUAUGAGUAGCUAAAUUUUCUCUUGUGUUGAAAUUAGGUUAGUUAUUUAUGAUUUUAACGUAAACAUCUAAUCUGGCUGAUUAUAUAUGAAGGAUAUGUUUUGUAAUGUGUAUGAUUUAUUCUCGUUCUGGGUUUUUGUUUCUUAACAAGUUCUGUUUAAAUCUGAAUAUAACAAAGAAGUAACAAACUUUCUUAUCGUAAAAAAAAAGGAAUAAACUUUCUCUUUUUUUUUAAAAAAAACUUUAGUUUUUCAAAUAUAUAUAAAACAAGAUAUUGAAAAAGAUAACAAUAAUUGACAAAGGGUAUAAUUGACCAAUCGUAUCCUUAAAACAUAAACUUGAUGGUUAAUUAUAAACGCUAAAUAUGAUAGAACUGAACACUUAUAAGAAAACGAAAAGAGAGUAUCAUUUAAAACAGAGCAGUUUAGAAAAUCUGACUUUUAUAUCGCAUUCUAUUGCAAUGUUUUUUAAAUAUUAUGUCAAAAAGUAAUGUAGAGUCAUUUGGUUAAAUUCUAGAAAAGUUUAGCAAACUUACAAUAUUUAACACAAGAAACAAAAUCUAAUAACAAUAAAUAUAUUUAUAUUAAUUUAAAUAGAACGGUCUUAUAGACUUAAAAUAUUUUUUUAUGACUUAUAGUCUAACAUUUUUAUCAAAAUAAUAUAUUUAAAAAAUCUUGACCUUCUAUGUUUUAAAAAAUACGGUCUGGGAUAUUGUAUAAUAGACCAUAUAUUGUUUAGUAAAGAGGAAAAAUAAUCAAGAUUCGAUCCUCUCAUUUACUCUCCUCCUCAUCUCUUUUCAUCCUCUCUAUCUUUCUCUUAAUCCCACUCUCUCUCAUUAUUAUUUUAAAAAAAUUUAUUGAAGAGAGAGAUUGAAAUUAAGAGAGAGAGAGAGAUAAAAAGGAAGAGAGAGAUGGAGAGGAGAGUGAAAGAGAGGAUCCAAAUCCAAAAUAACCGAAGAGAAUUCAUUCUCUAUUAUCACACCCCUACAUGUCACCUCAAAAUUGAUUGACUUUUUUACACAAUAAACUUUGACUUGCCUUUGACUCCUUAAUAAACUAUAUGGUCAGAUUAAAACACAUUGAUAAUAAUAAAUUGAAAAUUGAAUUUUCCCCAAUAAACUUAUACCCAUCCCAUGGCUCAUAUACGGUCUAUAAAGACAUAUUGAGAAAAAUAAAUUGGAAACAGACUAUAUGGAUAUAUUAAAACAUAUUGAUAAUAAUUUAUUUUUGAAUGACAAAUAUAGUAAUAUAUAAAAAAGAGUAAUUUAUUUUUUUAAUUGAAAAUUAAUAUUAUAUAUUAUAUAAAAAAUGACAAAAGUACAAUGUAAAAAUAGAAUAAUUAUAAGAGUUAAGUUAGAAUAACAAGAUAUCAGAAUUCAGAAGUACACUAUACCAAAAUUCAAACGAACUCUAAAAUUAAACAAAAAAAUGAAAUGCACCUCAACAUCACCACCGCAAGAUGAAAUGCACCUCAACAGAUUAAUAAUAAUAAAUUGAAAAUCACAAUCUAACUCAAAGUUUUUGAUAUGAUAUGAUAUUAAAAAAUUAAACUGAUGUUGUCAUCUAUAUACAUAUAGUGUUUUCUCAAAUAUUUUGUAGAGAACAUCAUUUACAUUUAGAGUUAUGAAUUCAUCUGCUAUGAAAUUCUACACCAUUUUCAUGUUCUUCUCUCUUGUCAUCAUUCUUCUUAUUUUCACAUGUGGUACAAACUAACUAUGCAAAUUAUAACAUUGUGUGCUUCUUUAAUUCUAAGCCUUAUAAUUUAAGCUCUCAAUUAUUAUUAAUAUUAUUAUUAUUUUCUAUUUAUGUUUAGAGUCAAUGGGAAUAUUUCAACGUCGUUGUAGAGCGACAAGUCACGCAUGGGAAGGAAAGCGUUGUCAUUUUGAUAUCUCGAGUAACUCAAAAUGUAAUUCAAUAUGCGUCAACCUGGAGCAUGCAUUGUCUGGUGCUUGUGAAUAUAAUCCUCGUUCUUACUCAGUUACUACAACUUGUUACUGCAACUACAAUUGCAGCAAAUACAGAACUUGGUAAUUAGUUUAAAUUAAAAGAACUCGAAGGUUGAACCAAAUUACUUAUUAAUCAACCUUCGGCUUCUUUUAUGUUGGUGGAUAUUGAUUUUGUUGAAAGUUUGUAUUUGAUCUUAUAUAAUCUUUUUGAAAAAGAAAAAAAAAUCCGA